rnacentral:misc_RNA from 1 species
UUCUGGGGCUAAACAUGGGCAUUAAUGCAUACAUUUGAUCAUAUUAUGGUAAAAAACAGAGGAUCGUAACAUAUAUAAACAAAAGACAGACAAAAAUUGAGUUCACAAUGUACAGUUGAGGGAGCAUAAACAAGCAAAACUCAAACAAAACCAAAUAAGAGGGCACGUCGGUAUGCUUCACCAACCAUAUAGCUUCACUCUUGUACAUGGUUCUUCCAUAUUCAAGUUGAUUCUUCUGAAUAACAAAGGAAUUGUUAUACUAUAAAUAUUUUCAAUCUGAUUUCACAUUUGUUCCAAGUUCUCCAUGACUUGUCUUGAUUCUUCGGAACAUCAAGGGAACAGACUUUUCCAAUACAGAUACGUUAAUGUUGUUCCAAACAUCUGACUUGGUAGGGAGUUGGGCAAUUUUCUCUGCAAUUUUCAUGUCUUCUGGAAGAACAGAACCAAAGACAGUAUAUGCUUUUUUCCAUUCUUGGUGGUUGGCUAGGCUAAUCAAGAAUUCUGGGCCAGAACCAACCCAAGCAACUGAACCCCUUCUUAUGGUUGGGCAAACUUCUUUUGGGAUUUUCUUGAAUGGUUUUCCUUGAGCUUCCAAUGUUCCUUGAAUCAAGGCAAAAGGAGGGCCAAAAGGAGCAUUUUUUAUGUGCUUUCCUUCUGAAUCCCAAGAUUGGCCCCGGCUCUCUGCACGAAAAAAUUCACAACCAGCGCAAUGGCGCAGUGCUAACAACUCAAGAAUGUAAGCUACAGAAUGUGGAGCACAAUCAGGGAAAAGUUUUAUAUGAAGAGUGCCAUAGUCUGUUUCCAAGCCAACAAUGCCCUCUCCUUUUCCAAAGAUGAGUCCUGAAGUCCAGCUGACUUUAUCACCUGCUUCCUGCCUAUCAGGGGUCAAUGUAUCCUUCUGUUUCUUCAACCAACACUCACCAAAUUUCGAUCCACAAGUUUCUUUAUUCCCACAAAACACCCAAGUAUCACACAAACAAGGCCCAUCAUUGCCAUGACACAUAGCCUUGCAGGCCUCACAACACGCCCUAGAAGAAUUGAACUUAAAUUCUGACCCCCACUUCACUGCAGCCCCCCACAGCUCCAAAUUAUCAAUCCCUCUACAACACCCACCAUCAUUACCCUCUGAACUCUCCUCUAUCAAAUCCAAAGACUCGGAGCCUGAAUUUGUAAAAUUGGCGCUGGCAUUAAGCACUAAGGAGAGGAUCGUGUAGAACAACGCGCAGGAGAUAAAACCCAGCAGAAGGAGGGUGAGAGAGGUGAAACGGGAAGCUUCUGGGUCGUUUAGUCUGCGACCCAUUUGAGAUUCUGGGGUGGAGAGUAAAACCCAGAUGAGGAUUGUUUCAGAUUGAGGAUUGAAGGAGAGGGGAAAGAAGGGAUUAAGGGUUUGGUUUGGCGUUGACUGAUAAGACAGAGAGGACGAUGCGCAGUCAUGGCAAUAAAUUAAAAAUUAAAAGAAAAGUGAGGGAGAGAGAAGGUUCA